AGAAGUGUUGAUCAAAGUUAUCUCGUUGACUUUGUGGAACAUUCGGGUUUGACGUUAAACUUAUCAGAAGCGAGUGUGAUUAAGAACAAGAAAAGCACGGUUAUUAACUCUGCUGUUGCCCAGUUUCGGAAUUUUAUUGCACAUCGUUCUGUCGAAAUUGUCUUCUUCGUGCUGAGAACCUGUAUUCGCGAAAAAUACCUUGUCAUUGUUGUUUUGUCAUAGGUAGUUGUGUGGAAUGGGCAUGUAGAAGUACCAGGGUAAUGUGACAAACAUUCACAACGGUGACUCUUCACACAGCUAACAUUUAUGGAAUAUAAUUUAUUUCAGUUUUUCUGAUGCAGUUUGGAAGCCACUUGGAGUAAACUUUUCGUCAGGUACUCACAAAAAACAGAUUGGCAAAUCUAACAAUUGGUAACAUACACUUGCAUCACAUGUGAGAUUUUGUUCCAGGAAUUUCAGGUGUUGCGACUGAAAGAAUGGCGAGUCAAAGGACGCCCUGUUUACCACAGCGUUGAAGGAUUGAUGGAUCUCCUGCCAAAUCGCCACAGGUGGAACAUUUGUAUCGGCGACAAGCACCCACCAGCAGCAGACGAAAUCCAAAGUGUGUGUUCGUGCGCCUGUGACUCGUUUGACAACAUCGUAACUUUUGAGCGAAAAGCGAGUAUUUCGAGAUUAUUUUUGAAAAUGUGGGCAGUUCUUGGUUCGCGUGUGAAUCAACGUAAAGGUAUGUGCAGCAUGUAAUCGCCCAGUUUCCUUCCCGUUUUGCUUUUUUGGUCUUACAAUUUGACAUUUUGACGGUCGUGGAAAUGUUUAAUUAUCUUUUAAUGACACUCCUGUUAAAGCAUAGGUGUAUAGUUGAAUCUCAUUUCAUCUUCUUUUACCCUCUUCAUUAGGUGAAUAGCUGAAUCUCAUUACAUCUUCUUUUACCCUCUUCAUUGUAUGGAAAUUAUGUCGGUAACUAUUUUGCUCUGUGUAUUUGUUAAAACUGCCCCAUAGCAUUUCAAGUGAAAUUUUUAUUUGUUUUUAGGUAAUAGUUUAAAUGUGUAAAAAGUGUUGGUGGUAGGUAAUGAGAGCUAUUCCUUUAUGCACUGGCUUUCCACUUUUAUUGUAAUAAAUGUCUUUCUAGCUGUUGAAAGUAGCUGUAACAGGAUGAUGACAAAUUGCAGCACUAGGAUGUUUGGUUUGCUGGAUGAUAAAAUGUUUCUGUGUGAGGAUCCAGACAUUGUGUCUAGAACUUCGUCUAGAACAAUUUAUUUAUCUUCAUUUAAUAUCCCUAGAUUUCUGGGAUAAUAAAUAUGCUACUAACACUAUGAAUUAGAAGACUAGCAGUUG